GGCCGGUUAGCUCAGUGGUUUGAGUGCAGUGCUGAGAACACUUGAGGGCGGGUUCGAUUCCCACUCGGUCC
rnacentral:tRNA from 1 species